AUACGUAGGGGGCGAGCGUUGUCCGGAAUGAUUGGGCGUAAAGGGCGCGUAGGCGGCGCGGUAAGUCUGGAGUGAAAGUCCUGCUUUCAAGGUGGGAAUUGCUUUGGAUUCUGCCGCGCUUGAGUGCAGGAGAGGUUAUCGGAAUUCCCGGUGUAGCGGUGAGAUGCGUAGAGAUCGGGAGGAACACCAGUGGCGAAGGCGGGUUACUGGAAUGCAACUGGCGGUGAGGCGGGAAAGUGUGGGGAGCAAACAGGAAUAGAUACCCUGGUAGUCCACACUGUAAACGAUGAAUGCUAGGUGUAAGAGGUAUCGACCCCUUUUGUGCCGGAGUCAACACAAUAAGCAUUCCGCCUGGGGAGUACGGCCGCAAGGUUGAAACUCAAAGGAAUUGACGGGG
rnacentral:rRNA from 1 species